rnacentral:snRNA from 1 species
GUGCUCGCUUUGGCAACACAUAUAUUAAAACUGAAACAAUACAGAGAAGACUAGUAUAGUCCCUACACAAGGAUGAUGUGCAAAUUCAUGAAGUGUUCCAUAUUUUU